GGAUGACUCUCGGCAAUGGAUAUCUAGGCUCUCGCAUCGAUGAAGAACGUAGCGAAAUGCGAUACUUGGUGUGAAUGGCAGAAUCCCGUGAACCAUCGAGUCUUUGAACGCAAGUUGUGCCCGGAGCCGUCAGGCCGAGGGCACGUCUGCCUGGGCGACCGA
rnacentral:rRNA from 1 species